UGAACGCUAGCUACAGGCUUAACACAUGCAAGUCGAGGGGCAGCAUGGUCUUAGCUUGCUAAGACUGAUGGCGACCGGCGCACGGGUGAGUAACACGUAUCCAACCUGCCGUCUACUCUUGGACAGCCUUCUGAAAGGAAGAUUAAUACAAGAUGGCAUCAUGAGUCCGCAUGUUCACAUGAUUAAAGGUAUUCCGGUAGACGAUGGGGAUGCGCUCCAUUAGAUAGUAGGCGGGGUAACGGCCCACCUAGUCUUCGAUGGAUAGGGGUUCUGAGAGGAAGGUCCCCCACAUUGGAACUGAGACACGGUCCAAACUCCUACGGGAGGCAGCAGUGAGGAAUAUUGGUCAAUGGGCGAGAGCCUGAACCAGCCAAGUAGCGUGAAGGAUGACUGCCCUAUGGGUUGUAAACUUCUUUUAUAAAGGAAUAAAGUCGGGUAUGUAUACCCGUUUGCAUGUACUUUAUGAAUAAGGAUCGGCUAACUCCGUGCCAGCAGCCGCGGUAAUACGGAGGAUCCGAGCGUUAUCCGGAUUUAUUGGGUUUAAAGGGAGCGUAGAUGGAUGUUUAAGUCAGUUGUGAAAGUUUGCGGCUCAACCGUAAAAUUGCAGUUGAUACUGGAUAUCUUGAGUGCAGUUGAGGCAGGCGGAAUUCGUGGUGUAGCGGUGAAAUGCUUAGAUAUCACGAAGAACUCCGAUUGCGAAGGCAGCCUGCUAAGCUGCAACUGACAUUGAGGCU
rnacentral:rRNA from 1 species